AAGCUGGCAUUUGGAUGAUGGGUACUGAACCCAGGUCCUCUGCAAGAGCAGUAUACACGCCUGUGCCCUCUCUCCACCCCAGUGACCCACUUCUGACUGGCAAGUGGAUGAUAGACAAGAGGAGCAGGAAGGAGAAGGCUUCUCGUUCCAGGAUCACACAUCUAACUCCGGAGGACACAGAUCUCACCCUGGUGAGCCCGGCUCUCGACUCCUUUCCAUUUCUCCCAAGUGUGAUGAAAGUGUUAGUGUCCUAGGACUACAGCAAGAAACACCACACGGAGAAAAUACGUCAUGUCAAUGUGGACCCAAGAAGUAGUGAUGAGUAAUGCAGCAGACCAUGAGACACUCGAACAUCAAAGACACGUGACACCAGGACAGGGCAGACAGCUGUUUCCAUCACCUAUGACAAAUGAAACUGAGACAAAGAUUCACUGGGAGCCACAGCUUUGCCGUGAGAAAUUGGAGCUCUGACAGACACCGACUGACUACAGCAUAGUCAGGACCAGUGCAUUUGCUACCCUAGAGGACAGCUCGUAACUCGUCAAUCUUGCCACUAUUGAUGUCUGGACCAUUAAUGCCUUUCCUUAGGGCUGCCCCGUGUACGAAAGGAUGCCUACCAGCACUGCUGUCCUCCAUCCACCAGCCAGAACAACUGCUCGCCCUUCUCCUAACAACCUGAAUUGUCUCCUCACACUGUCAAGUAUCCCUUGUGGAGUGUAUCUGCCCCCGGCUGAGUCUCUGAUCCUGAUGCCAUUUUGGAAAAGUCAUAUGGCUUCCCUGCUCUCAGUAGCCAGAAAAGCAUUUGGUGAGGCAGUCUUUUACCAUCUCCAGCAUAAGGGAGGGAGGCCCUUUGACAUACGAAAUGAUUAGAGCAUCAAUAUUUUGUUUGCCUUCUUUUCUUAUGGUGGGACUAAAAUGUUCAUUACUUCUUCCAAUAAGGUUGCUGGGACACAGUUAAUUCUUGUCCAAGGUGACUCUGUUACCGAAAUACAUUGCCAUCCUUGCAUCUCAUUUUCCUGAGCUGGUCUAGCAGGCUAAGGAACAAAACUUGGGUCUGUCAUGCAUGGUUGCAGAAGGAGUACAAAAGCACCCACCUGAGUCUGCGAACAAUCAAUGAAGUCCAAUUCAUGCUCCAAACCUAAGGUCCCUGAACUGGCAUAUCGUCACAUUGAUGGAAAACAAAGAAUUGCUCCCCAAAGUCACCUAAAGAUACCAUUUGGGUGGGAAGUGCUUUUGGAUUAUGUUCAAAGGAAGAGAGAGAAAUGGCAAGCAAAAGUGGAGAUGCUGGAGGGAUAGAAACGCCAUGCCAGUCCGGCACGGACAACACCGUCCAUCCGGCGGUGUCCCUGACAUAAUCAGUUCACAGACAGCUGUGCUUUGUACAUGUGAGUGCAACUCAGUCACCAAGAGGCUUCAGCUCUUCAGAAAGGAAGGAGGGUGGGAGAAAGAAGAACUACAACUUGUCCAACCCAGAUCCAAAAGAAGACUUGAAGAACACACACAUGUUGGAUAGAAAUGCUACAUCUACACACAAGAGGGACAGAAACCUUGUCACAGCCAAGAACCAGGUAACUGGGAGUCCACAGGGAAUACUCGGCCUCCUCCUUGCCUCAAGAUCGACGACUCCACACACAGAACAAGGACGGUUCCCCUCAUGUCCACACGCUGCAGCCAGAGACAGGACUACACAUCAAAGCGCAGAUAAACCGUUUUCCAUCUUAGACUUCACUGACCUUGGUAGAUAAAAGCCUGGGGGGUCCCUAUCCCAAAGAAAGGGGAAUGUUAACAGGACACUGUUCCCAACCAUUCUGGAGAAAGUCAGAACACUUCCUGUCUUUAUUCCAUAUGCUGUGCCCAUGAACCAAUUCUUAAGCUCUUACAUUUUAAAAAAUUAUGAGUUAAAACGACAUAAAUGGGCAUAAGCCCCUUUCCUUCCUUCCUUCCUUCCUUCCUUCCUUCCUUUUCUUUCUUUUUUCCUUCUUCCUCUUCUUCUCCCUGCCCCUCCUCCUUCCUCCUCCUGAUCCCCUCCUCUCUCUCUCCCCCUCCCCCUUUCCUUCCUCCCCUCCUCCCCCUUUUCUUCCUCCCCUGCCCCUUUCCCUCCUCUCCUCCCCUGUCCCUUUGUCCUCCUCCUUCUCCUCCUCCUCUCCUUCUCCUUCUCCUCCUCCUCUCCUCCUCCUCCUCUUCUUUUCCUUCUUCUCCUCCUCCUCUUCUUCUUCUCCUUUUUCUCCUCCUCCUCCUCGUCGUCGUCUUCUUCUUCUUCUUCUUCUCCUCCUCCUCCUCCUCCUCCUCCUCUUCUUCUCCUUUUUCUCCUCCUCCUCCUCCUCCUCCUCCUCUUCUUCUUCUUCUUCUUCUUCUUCUUCUUCUUCUUCUUCUUCUUCUUCUUCUUCUUCUUCUUCUUCUUCUUCUUCUUCUUCUUCUUCUUCUUCUUCUUCUUCUUCUUCUUCUUCUUCUUCUUCUUCUUCUUCUUCUUCUUCUUCUUCUUCCCCACUAAAUGGCUAUGCAUUCCUCCUAGGGGCUUCUAAUUGUGAGAAUUUACUAUUUUAUCAGAAUUUGGGGAGUUGGGACUGGUAAGCCUUUGUUACUAGGGUAUGGUAACCAAUUCUUUGAAAUAUAAUCGUUAGAAUAAUCCUCCAAAUUAGAACCAUAUUCAGACUGCAACAAUUCAAAAUUCCCUUAAAAUUGCCCUCCGGUUUUAUCUCAAUGUACCUUCUUCCAGGCUGCAGGGGAAAAUCCAGAUAUUUUAUGCAGAGCCAACCAAGCUAUCUUUUAAAUUUCUUUUGCAGAGGGCUUUUUCAUUAUCCACAAGAAAACAGGAGCUUGCAGAACACGUUUCCUAUAUUUUUAAUGAGGCUCAGCCUUAGCAACCCCCUGACAAGGAAGCUGAUUUCCUGUGUGCCCCGCUGCUGCUGGUUGAUCCCAUCUGAUUCUUCUGAGAAAGAAGCCCUAAUGACCGGCAAAGCAAUGCUCACACGUACCAACCCUACAGCUCACCGCUGUCCUCACCAUCUGCAGCAGGUGUCUGCCGCACAGCGCAGAGGGGAGGGCAUUCUCUUCAUUUCAGGGAAAUUCUCCACAUCUUAAAAAUGUAAAAGAGAGAUAGAAAUCUACACUCUUAAGUUUCUGUUACCUUAGCCUAUUCAUGCCUCUGUAAAGGCCAGAGACUCACUAAGUUAUUUAGUAGCCCAAAUGAAAAGAAAAAGACACAGGUAAGAGGUUCAGUCAAAAGCUUUGGGGUAUAAAAUAAUUCAGUCCCCUGAGCUCCAUAGUCUGAGAAUAUUUCUGUUUUCAACUGAGACUCUCAAUGGCUGCUUUUCUAUUUACUCAUGCAGACUUCAACAAAUCAUUUACUUAUCCACUCAUCUGUUUACAUCUGAAUACACAGAUUGCUAAUUGUCUACGUAAUCUAUUGUUUGUGAAAAAAGAGAAUUCCAGUUUUGUUUGGGGGGUGGGGGGGAAGCUAGGCAUUUGACUAGAAACUACAAUUCCCAGCAUGCCCUUGUGGUCGGUGUGAACUGUUAUUCUAUGAUUAGGUUCUGACCAAUGAGAUUCAAUCAUGAGCAGCUGGGUUGCCAGGCAGCUGUUGCCAGCUUCCUGUUUAUGCUAAUUUCAGUGAAAAUUUUGAAUAGUGGUGACUUCCAAGAGAGGAGUUGAUGUCAAAGUUGAAAAACCAGAAAGGGAAAAAGAAAAGUACGUGUCUGAAAACUGUAUAAAUCAUAUCAUUUCUACUAACUUUCCAGACGUGUUUGUAUAAAAUUUAACCGUCAACAAGAUGACAUCAGAGAAAGAGGCUAACUCUCCAUCGUGGUUUCAGUGACACUCCUCAGCGGUAUGGAGGGCAAAAGCUGGAGACCAAGACAUUAGAAAGACAAAGGUCAGCUGUUGGUUAAUGUAAUGGCACCUGGCGCGAGUUGCAGGAGAGAAAAGGAUGGUGCGCUGGAAUUUGCUAAGGAAGGGGUAACGUUAGGUGCUGUACGCACAAGUGAGACCAUCCAUGCGACUUUUUCACACAUUUAAAACUACUCAAAUGAAAACAUGACAAUUACACAGUUUUAGUGACCCUUUCAAUUAUGAGAUACAAAUUAAUAGACUAAUCAAAGGUAAGAGGGGGAAGGGCAACACUGUGUGUUCAGCAGAACGGAGGUUGAUACCCCAGUUAAAGGGUGAGCGGGUGAACCUCUAGUCAGUUUCCUUCUUGUUAUAUCCAGCGCUUCACAAGAUAUUUUUCCACUGUGAGUGAGUGUGAGUGUGUGUGUGCACGUGCGCAUGUGUACACUAUCUGGUCUUUCUGCUCCUAGCUCCUCAUUUAAGUAGGAUUUCCAGUUCCAAGAACUGGGCAACUCCAGGCUUCAGAAACUGCCCAGCCACCUGGUCUGAGGCAAAGACUAUGGGUCAGCAGCAGUUUCUAGACUUCCCCAGCAGCAGUUUCCAGCCCUCCCCCAUACCCUCGUAAUGGAAUGUCCCUAGAGAUGGAGCAAGAUAAAGGUCACCUACCCCCAGAACCCCCUAAUGUGCUUUAAAUCAGGUUGCAAGCUCACUUGGUUGUCUCUCUAUAUCGGUAAUGGGAGGCCCCAGCAUGCUGGACUUCUGCAGAAUAAAACACUCUUUGUGUUUAUGUACUAGCUGAGCCUGGGGCAUCAUUGUUCCAUGAAUCGUGGGCCCAUUCAAUAUAAGUAAAUAAAAAUAAGUUAAACUCAGAGUAGAUGUCUCGUGAAUGUGGAAGGAAGGGAGACUAUGUAAAUACUGACAACUAUAUGAACAACAAAACGUUAUGCGGGAUUUCUUAGCUGAAUCACAUUCUAAUUGUAUGUGCUCACUGUAGACACAGAUAGGGCUAAAACUGUCCUACACAACAUUUACUACUCCUGCACGGAGAACUAGAAAUGUACUACUCCGGCAAGGUGUCUUCUAGGUCGGUCUCUCACCAACUGCUGUUUCUAGAAAGUCUUUGUCAAAUGCUCCCGACACUCGACACAGCAGACACCUGGCCCCCAUUCCCACGUGGGAAAGGGCAGAAUCUAUUCAUCCUCAUCUGGCGUUAGUGACAGACAGUCUUGUGGGCCUAUAGGCAUCCCAAAGGAGCUGGGAAAUACUGUCCUGGCUGAGCACUUGUUAGACAAGCACACUAGAAGGGAGACCACAACUCCGUUUUUGUUCUCCCUAAGGUAAGUUGGGAGUUUUGUUCGGUUUAUCUCAGGUUAGAAUAACUCCAUUGGUUUAAAGUGUUGCUAGACCCAUAAGAGACAAAAAGGGGAGAGGGAGACCAGUGAGAGACGUUAAAGCAGGACAGAAGGUAGCUGGGGGUCUGAGGCUGAGCAAAGUAUAAUGAGACAUACUUAAGAGAAUCUCACAGAAAGCUGAUUACCUUGUAUACAAUGACAAGAUUAUUUUAAAUCUUUUUUUUAUAGACUCAAAAAAUACUUAAAUAUGGAUUACAUUCUAGAGACUGGAUUUACAGCUCUUCCAAAGGUCCCCAGUUCAGUUCAUGUGUCGGGAUGCUCACGACGGCUUGUAAUUGCAGUUUCAAGGGGUCUGGCUCCUUCUCAGGCAUGUGAGGAAACACACACGAGUACAGCAUACACUGCACGGAUACAGGGAUACAGGAAUAAAAUAGCAUUAAAAAAUUACAUUCUGGGGGUUGGGGAUUUAGCUCAGUGGUAGAGCGCUUGCUUGCAAGGCCCUGGGUUUGGUCCCCAGCUCUGAAAAAAAAAUUUAAAGCAAAAAAUUACAUUCUGUCCCAGUCAUACCAAUUAAAAGGCACAGCAUCUAACAAUUCCUUAGCCUCCUCUUUGUGUGUUAGUGAAGUGAAAUUCUUCAGUUUAAGAAACAGUUGCAGAUCUGGGUGAACAAAAGUAACACUUUGGAGUAGUUACUAAGCUGCCAAAGUGGUUGUUUCUUAUGCUAAUUGGGCGUGAAUGUUUAUCAAGGGAUGAGAGGUAAUUAUCAGCCUAUUCAUUUUGGUAUUUCAGGUAGAAGCUUCCAGAAACAGAACAAUAAAGUAGAAAGAGAGGCGACUACUUAAAAGUCUCCCAAUAGAAAAGCAAGGCUUGCUGGGUGAAAGGGUAUAUGAAAUAAAACUUUGCUCGAACUUCUGAGUUAAGUUCAGCUAUGGCACUCAUCCAAGGUUACUGCUCAGUCAAUUGAAAACGAAACCCAAUGUUUAUAUAUUGGCAAACUACUAUUCCAAACUCAAGGGGUGGGGGAAUCCCUAGGCAUUGCGUUCUCAGAGCCAAUGAAAUAAACUGAGGGAAAACUGGAGUGGCUUUGUGCCAAAAUCCCUUUUGGGCUGGUAUCACAGAGAGAGAAUGGCUUGAUGUUCUCAGAUAAAAUGAGAAGAAAGUUUGUUAACAAACACACCCACAGCUUUAAAUACAUUAAUGACAUUUGGAAAAUCAUUCUUAUAAAGUUUAGGGAAUUUUUUUAUAAAAUUCAGAAAUUUUAGGAAUUAGGUUUAGAAAUUAGAAAAAUGUUUAAUAGUUCAAGGAAAUUUAUAGAUAAUAGUUUCCAUCCUGUGUCAGAUAAAAAAAAUCAAAGAAAAUUUAAGAACCCUUUAACAAUGGAAUGGUGACUCUGGGAAGAAAGUUCCCCUUCUAGUCAUCAAAAUGGUAGGCAGACUCAGGUCAUGAACUGUAUGCCUAUCAAUAAAUUCCUUUCUUAUGGAACUGAAUGUUUGUUUCUUUGAUUUUCCUGUCUUUCUCUUACCAAGUUAUGUUCCUCCCUAAAUCUUGGAGUAGUGUCUUCAUCAAACAUAGCAUUGUUUAGUGAGCAUACAAGAAUUCUAAGCAGAGGGGGAAAAAACCAAAUACACAAGCAAGAACCUAGCAAAAAAUAAACAUUGUCACCGUUUGCUUUAUUGUAGCUUAGAAAUAAAGCAAUGAGCUUUCUGUGUGAAGUUUGUACUUUCAUAGUCAAGAGGCAGAAUUAGUGUUUGUAUUCUGUAGUCAGACUUGACUCCCACAUAUUCUGUCUGUUUGGAUAAUAGCUUAAUGCCUUCAUAAUUGGAUUUCCACAUCUGUAAAAUGUGGCUCAUAGCAACAAUAGUAGCUGUCUCACAGGGACUUCAAAAUGUGUAGAUAAAGUAAAAUAUACAUGAACUCAACAUACAAAUAGUAUAAGUAAAGAAUACUGUCUUGUCCUUACGUUUACUGAGAUCUAGGAAUUGUGCUUCAGAAACCUCUAGUACCUGAAGUAUUGCCUAGUAUUUGUCAUUACAAAGACAGAAAAUGUCAAGCCAACAUUUCCUUAAGCAUUACUUGGGAGAAAUGUCCUGCAUAUGAUGUCAUUUGGUCUAUGUAUGUUGUGUGGUUCUGAUCCUGGGGAGAUGUGAAUAAAUGUCAACACAUCCCAUCCUGAGGAGAUGUCUACACAUCCCAGAGAGAGAACUGAUGACAGAACCAAGCAAGGAUACCACUAAAGUCCAACAUGGCAGACAGAAAUAUGGGUGAGGGGUGACUUAAAGAAGCAGAAAUUACUCAAAUACAGCUGCAUCCCCAAAUAGCACCCCGGCAUGGGUGAUACUACAUAAAAGAGUUCAGUUGUUCUGAAUAUAUUCCGGGAAGCUCAGCUGGGCUUUGUUUCUUCCAGGCUGUUUGGCUCCUCUGAGCCUCUUCUAGGCAUCUCAGCUUGUUAAUAGUGUCUCUCUGCAGUAUUUACUCCUUAUCUGUAGCUAGGCAAUCUGUUCAACUUCAGGAACUUCCUGGAAUCCUCAAGUUGUCUGCUUCCUGACUUAAUGAGCUUCCCAGCAGGAUGGAAUGUUUCACCUGUGUCUUAAAAAGGACACCCUCUGAUAAGCUGUGCAUCUCAGACGAGACGGCUACACAGAGCUUAGAACCGUUGUUUAAGUUAUUCAACAACAGAAGCUUAAUUGAAAAACACAUUGACAAACAACACACCAAAAGCAAAUUGUGUAAUUUGGAAAGGCCUUGGUGAAUGUUCCUGUUCAUUUUUUAAAAAGAUAUCAAGCCAAGACUCUUCAUUUGUGACUUUUUUUUCCCUGAAAUUUAUAACACUGUCUUAUCUACAUGACACCAUCUUUUCCAGCUCAAAAUGGCUUAUGUGCUUUGCAAUAUCUAAGACAUGAGCUGCUGAAUAUUAUCUUGCAGUUUUUGUGCUGAGGACUAGCAGGGCUCCUGGUUUAAAACCUGCCUGGCUGUCUCUGGGCUACUACAAGUGUGAGAAAGUGUUGGUGGUCUGCUGCUGCUCUCUUGUUAUUUUGUUUUGUUUGUCUUUUCACUUAUUUGUCCUGACAAUUACAGAGCAAUAACUUCUUAACCUUGGGAUUUUUAUGAGCCUUUGCCCCAUGAAUUUGACAGAUUUUUUUUUAUUUUAUUCUUUUACAUCUUAUGUGGGAUAAAGUACCUGAAGGCUGUGCAUACUGGGUCUUUAGACCAGCACUUUGAAGGUACCCUGGCAGGGACUAAUGCUGAACCUACAACCAUACCGAGUAUGCAGUAAACUUAAACCACCAGGACUUAACACCUCAUGUAAUAACCAGAAGCAGGUUGCAGAACUCCAUCUUACCCUAGAGCUCAAAAGGCUCUGAAUGGGCCUUUCUGAGACAAUAAUAUCAGAAAAUGGCUAGGGUUAAUCCACUGGCAAACUGCAAUUGGGCAGUGGUUCUUGUUAGCAUCAGAAGCUGUUUACAGCUAGCCUCUGAAUCCAGCAAUGACAUCAUCCCUUCUGUGUCUGCUGCCAUGGCAACUGCCACACACUCCCUGUGCUUGCCUCACCUGCAUCACCUGUGUGCUUCAUCACCUAGGAUACCUCCACAUCACCAUCUAGAUAAAAGACAGAGACCCUGACCCAUCUCCCUCUUUUUCUU